UGUGUACCUGCAGUGUGUGUGUGUGUGUGUGUGUGUGUGUGUGUGUGUGUGUGAGAUCAUCAGAUGUUAAACUGUCCGACACCAGAGGGCAGUAGAGUAACCCCCCUCUCCCCUUCCUCACUGUUACCAUGGUUUCCCUGCACCCCCCACGCCCUCCUCAUCCCCUCUGUGUGUCACCAUGGAAACCCCUAACCCCCCUCCCCCCCUCCUCUUCAUCAUCAUCUUCUUAAUGUUGUUUUUUAUUUUCUUACUGGAGGUUUAUCAAGUUUUUCUGUUGAUUCCUUGUUCACUGUCAGCUGUGUAGAAACUUCAACUUUUAUAAUAAAACGACCAACUGAGGGAAAAACA